GUUAGCGAGCACGGACGUAUCGCUGUCCGUCACCGCCAGACCCGCGAUUUACGUAAUGUUCUAAAAACUAAAUAUGUAAUCGCGUAUUGGUGAACCCCGCUACCGGGGUUCACGUUCACCUACAUCUUCUACGCCUACCUACUACACCAUGCAUGGUCACCACUGCCGAACCUACCACCUGGCUCUUCAACCCGGCAGAGCUGCCUGCCGUGUCGGACGGCCCGUGCGCACACUCUAAGUGGCCCUACACCACAGUGCGUACGGCCCUAGCCGUCUGGCGCGUCGACGACUCUGCGGGCCUACCAACUCGAAGAACCAACCCACAUCACCAUCAAUGCUAGCGAGGACAGUGGUUUGAAUAUACUACCACCGGUGACGAAUCUCGUGCGAUACGAUAGUUUGCUCGUAACCCACACCCUUAAGGUCUCUUUCUCUUAAAUUGAAAUAAAAGACUUGUUAACUUAAA